CCCUUAGAUGUCCUGGGCCGCACGCGCGCUACACUGAUGCAUGCAACGAGUUUAUAACCUUGGCCUGAAAGGUCUGGGUAAUCUUUUGAACGUGCAUCGUGAUAGGGAUAGAUUAUUGCAAUUGUUAAUCUUGAACGAGGAAUUCCUAGUAAACGCGAGUCAUCAGCUCGCAUUGAUUACGUCCCUGCCCUUUGUACACACCGCCCGUCGCACCUACCGAUGGAAUGGUUCGGUGAAGAUCUCGGACUUCGAUAUUUAUUCUUUAUUGAGUUUAUAUUGUGGGAAGUUAUCUAAACCUCAUCAUUUAGAGGAAGGUGAAGUCGUAACA
rnacentral:rRNA from 1 species